rnacentral:rRNA from 1 species
AGCAGCCGCGGUAAUUCCAGCUCCAAUAGCGUAUAUUAAAGUUGUUGCAGUUAAAAAGCUCGUAGUUGAAUUUCGGGAUCAAUACGCCGGUCGUGCUUCGGUACGUACUAACGAUAUUGAUUUCUCCCUUCUGACGAACCGUGAUGUCAUUAAUUUGGUGUUACGGGGAGUCAGGACUGUUACUUUGAAAAAAUUGAGUGUUUAAAGCAAGCAAUCGCUCGAAUACAUUAGCAUGGAAUAAUGAAAUAGGACGUUCGAACCUAUUUUGUUGGUUUCUAGGAUCGACGUAAUGAUUAAUAGGGAUAGUUGGGGGCAUUAGUAUUCAAUUGUCAGAGGUGAAAAUUCUUGGAUUUAUUGAAGACUAACUACUGCGAAAGCAUUUGCCAAGGAUGUUUUCAUUAAUCAAGAACGAAAGUUAGGGAUCGAAGACGAUCAGAUACCGUCGUAGUCUUAACCAUAAACCUAUGCCGACUAGGGAUCGGAUGAUGUUAAUUUUUAUGUACUCAUUCGGCGCCUUACG